rnacentral:rRNA from 1 species
UGCAGAAUCCCGUGAACCAUCGAGUUUUUGAACGCAAGUUGCGUCCGAAACCUUUUGGUCGAGGACACGUCUGCCUGGGCGUCACAU